rnacentral:tRNA from 1 species
GGAAAGAGAGGGAUUCGACCCCUCGGUAA